rnacentral:rRNA from 1 species
UACGGAGGAGGCAAGCGUUAUCCGGAAUUAUUGGGCGUAAAGCGUCCGUAGGUGGCUCUUCAAGUCUACUGUCAAAGAGUGGGGCUUAACCCUGCAAAGGCAGUGGAAACUGAAAGGCUAGAGAGCCGUAGGGGUAGAGGGAAUUCCCGGUGUAGCGGUGAAAUGCGUAGAGAUCGGGAAGAACAUCGGUGGCGAAAGCGCUCUACUGGACGGUAUCUGACACUGAGGGACGAAAGCUAGGGGAGCGAAUGGG